GCACCAUGAAAGAGAAACAUACUUCCUGACGAUACCAUUUCAAAGUGCAACUGGACAGCUGCCUUAAGCUCUUGAAGCCACAUCUCUCUCAUUAUGGAACUGGCCCUCAGAAGGCUAUUUCUCCUUGCCCGUCGAAGCCAGGACACUAAGAGAGUAUGGAAA